AGAUACCAAGUCAUUCUGCUUAACUGAUAUGAAAAACUACUAGAAUUUUAAAAGAACAAUUUUAAUAGUCUAGUGAAAAAUCUGCCAUUCAUAUCAAUGAAACUGUUUCAUUCAAAUUUGAUAACUUCUAUAAUUUAGUUUCAGGCAAAGUCAGCAUAUUGAGCAGGCAGUUCAAUUAUUGUGUUUUCUUGAGUUCUCUUCUAAUGUUCCAGUUAUUAUAAUGGGCAAACUGAUGGUAGCCUAAAAUUUACUUGGAAGCAAUAAUGUUGUUUUGUUAUUUUCUGGCAAAU
rnacentral:misc_RNA from 1 species